GUGUCAGCAGCCGCGGUAAUACGUAGGGUGCGAGCGUUAAUCGGAAUUACUGGGCGUAAAGAGUGCGUAGGCGGUUCGUUAUGUCUGUGGUGAAAGCCCUGGGCUCAACCUAGGAAUGGCCAUGGAAACUGGCGGGCUGGAGUAUGGCAGAGGGGGGUGGAAUUCCGCGUGUAGCAGUGAAAUGCGUAGAGAUGCGGAGGAACACCGAUGGCGAAGGCAGCCCCCUGGGCUAAUACUGACGCUGAGGCACGAAAGCGUGGGGAGCAAACAGGAUUAGAUACCCGGGUAGUCC
rnacentral:rRNA from 1 species